UACGGGGGGGGCAAGCGUUGUUCGGAAUUACUGGGCGUAAAGGGCCAGUAGGCGGCCAACUAAGUCCGACGUGAAAUCCCAAGGCUUAACCUUGGAACUGCGUCGGAUACUGGAUGGCUUGAAUUCGGGAGAGGGAUGCAGAAUUCCAGGUGUAGCGGUGAAAUGCGUAGAUAUCUGGAGGAACACCGGUGGCGAAGGCGGCAUCCUGGACCACGACUGACGCUGAGGAGCGAAAGCCAGGGGAGCAAACGGG
rnacentral:rRNA from 1 species